rnacentral:tRNA from 1 species
GCCGCGGUAGCUCAGUGGAAAGAGCAUCUGCCUACGAAGCAGGGGCCGGGGGUUCAAAUCCCUCUCGCGGUG